rnacentral:rRNA from 1 species
GCUCGCGGCCUAUCAGCUAGUUGGUGAGGUAAUGGCUCACCAAGGCGACGACGGGUAGCCGGCCUGAGAGGGCGACCGGCCACACUGGGACUGAGACACGGCCCAGACUCCUACGGGAGGCAGCAGUGGGGAAUAUUGCACAAUGGGCGAAAGCCUGAUGCAGCGACGCCGCGUGAGGGAUGACGGCCUUCGGGUUGUAAACCUCUUUCAGCAGGGAAGAAGCGAAAGUGACGGUACCUGCAGAAGAAGCACCGGCUAACUACGUGCCAGCAGCCGCGGUAAUACGUAGGGUGCGAGCGUUGUCCGGAAUUAUUGGGCGUAAAGAGCUUGUAGGCGGUUUGUCGCGUCUGCAGUGAAAAUCCGGGGCUCAACCCCGGACUUGCUGUGGGUACGGGCAGACUAGAGUAUGGUAGGGGAGACCGGAAUUCCUGGUGUAGCGGUGGUUUGCCAGAUAUCAGGAGGAACACCGAUGGCGAAGGCAGGUCUCUG